UUCUCCUCACCUUUUUCUGUUUGUGCGUGUGUUUGGGAUUGAGAGGUGAGAGGGUUGCUAGUUCUGUGAAGGGGAAAUAGGUUUAAGAAGAAGGAGGAGGUCCACUGGUUUGGUGAGAGGUGAAGAAGCAGCGACGGCUAUGGAGGAGGGGGGUCAUUGCCGAUGGUUGACUCGAUGGUGGUCAAUUCCGGCGAGGCAACAAUCUCGAGUGAGAGAGAUGGCAGAGGCAGGUGAGGAGAUUGGUCAUGGGGUGUUGAGUUCUCUGCUGAAGGGUCUUCGAUGGAGGAGGUCGUGGGCGGCGGGUCUGUUGGUGGCUGCUGUGAGAGCUGACGGCGGCUGGUUUUUGUUGAAGGGGAGUGGUGGGCGGCUCUAAGGGUUCAGGGGUAUUCUAUAGGGUUAGGUUUUAGGUUGUAAUUAGGUAGAUAUAUGUGGGUGGGGAUUAGUUUCGACCAUUGGAUGAAAGGGAAUGAAUGACUAAGAUUAAAUUAAAAAGAGCUGAUGGGUUAAAGGGUCUUGAGCUUCAUAUUUGGGUCUUAAAAUUGGACUAAAAGAAAAAUGUCCAAACCUUAUCUAAAUAUCUUUUAAUAUAAGGUAAAUAUACUACAUAUUGCAAGAAAUUAUCUAAUUAAUUAAACUAAAUUUUAUAUAAAAUAUGAAACUAUUUUUUUAUAUUUUUCAAAUGUCAAACUAAAAUAAUAACAAGAUUAUAUUAAAAUCAUCGUAAAAUUAAGAUAAUACUACUACCCAAAACACUAAUAUCCUUUAAAAUAAAGUGUAACUAUUUUUGUAUUUUUGAAUUUUAUGUAAGGUAGAUAACUAAAAGUAACAAGAUAAAAUAUCAAUAACCUAAAUAAAAGAAAAUAUUUUUGUAAUUUUUGUUUUUGUGACAAAAUAAAGUAAAAUAGUUAAAACUAGGUAAAAUAACGAUAUUUGGCCUAAACUAAAUAUCUAAAAUCUAAAAUGAGUAAAAAUUCGGGGAGGGUCAAAAAUUACAUGUCUACAGCUGCCCUCUUUGACCGGAAAUAUGAUGUAUUUUCAGACAAAGAACGACUAGACAUGUUUUUUGACCUGACCCUUAUUUAGGGAGACCAAAAACUAAGAGAAAGGAAGAGAAUGUGACCGAGCCCUGGUAUCUGAGCUGCCUACAUAUCCUUGGCUAUAAAGGAAUCAGACCAUAUAUAGUUCAGAAAUGAAUGAGGUGAUGGAGUAUACUGAGGUGGAGAGUCGGUCGAGGUGUCGUUCUUUCGAGGUUCCGGUCCGCGGUCCUGUUAUUUACAUCAAAAUCAAAAAAUGAAAAAGACUAACUAAGCCUGUCAACUAUGAGUUACAAGAUUCCUAUCCAUAAGUCUUCUGAAGCUUGAUCUUGAGUCUUGAAUGGUUCUUCAUGCAGACUUUAGAUUUGAACCUUGACGCUUGCUAGUUGCAGGUGCUAGUUCAUUCUUCUUCAACUUUUCAGAUCGAAAUUGGACACACCAUGCUUGUGACUUUAGUCAUGUCUUGAGCAAUCCACCUCUUGUCUCAGCUUCUGCAUUUUGGAUUCACUUCCCUUUUUUUUUCUUGGUUUUGUUUUUCUUUUUUAUUCUGGAUUGAGAGUACCUCUGUUGAUCAUCUCGGACUGUUGACUCGCAUUCUUGCCGCGAGCUUCUGCUACUUCUAACUUGACUUGGAUUCUAAAAUGACUUCCCUCGUUCUUCAGGUGGGCGCCUGC
rnacentral:lncRNA from 1 species